UACGUAGGGUGCAAGCGUUGUCCGGAAUUAUUGGGCGUAAAGAGCUCGUAGGCGGUUUGUUGCGUCGGCUGUGAAAUCCCGAGGCUCAACCUCGGGUCUGCAGUCGAUACGAGCAAACUAGAGUGUUGCAGGGGAGACUGGAAUUCCUGGUGUAGCGGUGAAAUGCGCAGAUAUCAGGAGGAACACCGGUGGUGAAGGCGGGUCUCUGGGCAACAACUGACGCUGAGGUGCGAAAGCGUGGGGAGCAAACAGG
rnacentral:rRNA from 1 species